CCUACGGGAGGCAGCAGUGGGGAAUAUUGGACAAUGGGGGGAACCCUGAUCCAGCGACGCCGCGUGAGUGAAGAAGUAUUUCGGUAUGUAAAGCUCUAUCGGCAGGGAAGAAAGAAAUGACGGUACCUGACUAAGAAGCCCCGGCUAACUACGUGCCAGCAGCCGCGGUAAUACGUAGGGGGCAAGCGUUAUCCGGAUUUACUGGGUGUAAAGGGAGCGUAGACGGCGAUGCAAGUCUGAAGUGAAAGGCGGGGGCCCAACCCCCGGACUGCUUUGGAAACUGUAUGGCUGGAGUGCAGGAGAGGUAAGUGGAAUUCCUAGUGUAGCGGUGAAAUGCGUAGAGAUUAGGAGGAACACCAGUGGCGAAGGCGGCUUACUGGACUGUAACUGACGUUGAGGCUCGAAAGCGUGGGUAGCAAACAGGAUUAGAUACCCGGGUAGUC
rnacentral:rRNA from 1 species